UACGUAGGGGGCUAGCGUUGUCCGGAAUCAUUGGGCGUAAAGCGCGUGUAGGCGGUUCGGUAAGUCCGCUGUGAAAGUCGGGGGCUCAACCCUCGAAUGCCGGUGGAUACUGUCGGACUAGAGUACGGAAGAGGCGAGUGGAAUUCCUGGUGUAGCGGUGAAAUGCGCAGAUAUCAGGAGGAACACCAAUUGCGAAGGCAGCUCGCUGGGACGGUACUGACGCUGAGACGCGAAAGCGUGGGGAGCAAACAGG
rnacentral:rRNA from 1 species